UACGUAGGGUGCGAGCGUUGUCCGGAAUUAUUGGGCGUAAAGAGCUCGUAGGCGGUCUGUCGCGUCGGUCGUGAAAACUUGGGGCUUAACCCUGAGCUUGCGGUCGAUACGGGCAUGACUGGAGUUCGGCAGGGGAGACUGGAAUUCCGGGUGUAGCGGUGAAAUGCGUAGAUAUCCGGAGGAACACCGGUGGCGAAGGCGGCUUCCUGGACCGACACUGACGCUGAGGCGCGAAAGCUAGGGGAGCAAACGGG
rnacentral:rRNA from 1 species